CAGUCGCCGCGGUAAUACAGAGGGUGCGAGCGUUAAUCGGAUUUACUGGGCGUAAAGCGUGCGUAGGCGGCUUCUUAAGUCGGAUGUGAAAUCCCUGAGCUUAACUUAGGAAUUGCAUUCGAUACUGGGAAGCUAGAGUAUGGGAGAGGAUGGUAGAAUUCCAGGUGUAGCGGUGAAAUGCGUAGAGAUCUGGAGGAAUACCGAUGGCGAAGGCAGCCAUCUGGCCUAAUACUGACGCUGAGGUACGAAAGCAUGGGGAGCAAAUGGGAUUAGAUACCCCCGUAGUCCCUGUCUCUUAUAC
rnacentral:rRNA from 1 species